GAAAUGCGAUAAGUAAUGUGAAUUGCAGAAUUCAGUGAAUCAUCGAAUCUUUGAACGCACAUUGCGCUCGCCAGUAUUCUGGCGAGCAUGCCUGUUCGAGCGUCAUUUCAACCAUCAAGCUCUGCUUGCGUUGGGGAUCCGCGGCUGCCCGCGGUCCCUCAAAAACAGUGGCGGGCUCGCUAGUCACACCGGGCGUAGUAACUCUACAUCGCUAUGGUCGUGCGGCGGGUUCUUACCGUAAAACCCCCAAUUUCUAAGGUUGACCUCGGAUCAGGUAGGAAUACCCGCUGAACUUAAGC
rnacentral:misc_RNA from 1 species